rnacentral:rRNA from 1 species
ACUCCUACGGGAGGCAGCAGUAGGGAAUCUUCCACAAUGGGCGCAAGCCUGAUGGAGCAACACCGCGUGAGUGAAGAAGGGUUUCGGCUCGUAAAGCUCUGUUGUUAAAGAAGAACACGUAUGAGAGUAACUGUUCAUACGUUGACGGUAUUUAACCAGAAAGUCACGGCUAACUACGUGCCAGCAGCCGCGGUAAUACGUAGGUGGCAAGCGUUAUCCGGAUUUAUUGGGCGUAAAGAGAGUGCAGGCGGUUUUCUAAGUCUGAUGUGAAAGCCUUCGGCUUAACCGGAGAAGUGCAUCGGAAACUGGAUAACUUGAGUGCAGAAGAGGGUAGUGGAACUCCAUGUGUAGCGGUGGAAUGCGUAGAUAUAUGGAAGAACACCAGUGGCGAAGGCGGCUACCUGGUCUGCAACUGACGCUGAGACUCGAAAGCAUGGGUAGCGAACAGGAUUAGAUACCCUGGUAGGAUGCG